AGGGCUGUAGCAUGGGGUUGUGUGCUGGUGUCUGUGCAGCCUCAGUGGCGAGAAUACUCUGAUCUGAAGAUUUUCCCCAGGAAAGGAGGGGUCCUGUCUCUGAGGCUUCUCUGCGGCCCCAGGCGGGAAGGCUGUCUGAGGGGCUGAUGGAGACUCACCCUUCCUGUCCCCAGUGAUGUGGAAGGAGACUGGAUGUCUCUAGGACCCACCUCCACUUUCCCAUGUAGACAGGUGUGGCUGGCCAGCCCGUGGGCCCCUGCACCUGGGGAGGAGCUGGGGGAGUUGCAAAGAGAAGUGUGUCUGGAGGGGUUCCACCUGCUGCCUCCCUUGGAGUGUCCAGGCUUCAGGAACGUGGUGGGGGGUCCUGUGAGCCUCUUAGUGUUCAUCUCCCGUGCCCACCACUGCCUGGCUUCCUGCAAGGCCGCCUCACCCGGCUCAUGGCCUCGCGCCUGCGUUGCCCCCAUCCUUCCACAGUCUAGUGAAAAAGCCCUUCACACCUUCGCUUACACGGCCCCUUACCCUGGAAUGCUCUGCCUGCCCCUGCCUUUCAGAGUCCAGCCCACCGCCAAUUCUCCCUGUACCCUCUUUCUUCAGCUCCCUGCUCCCAUCCCACUUGGCUGUGACCCACCCAGGACUCCCCUUUGCACUAAACACACCCCUCUCCUAAUGGGACCCCUUUAGGUUUGGGUGUAGGUAUUUGCCGCCUAUCCUGAGUUCUGCCCUACACUGAGACCCUUGAGGUAUAGGAGCCAUGUCUGUGUUUCUCCCCAAAUGAGGACCAGGCCCAGAGCAGAUGCUCAGCGGAUGUAAGCUGAAAGAACCCUGGUGGACACAGGUUAGCCACCUCCCCACUGCCCACUGACUGAGAAGAUCCCAAGUGUUUGCUCAUGGCCACAUGGUGGCAGGUGCCCGGAGCUGUUAGGCGGUCCAGGGUAUGUGGACAGCUUUAACAGACAGGGUGGGCCAGCUGGGCGUGCUCAGCGCUGUUUAGGGCAUCGUUUGCGUGGGACACGCACUCUGAGUUCCAAACGGCCUGGUUCCAAAGAAGCUCAUGGGAGCAAGCAGUCUUUGGUGAACCCGGGGACUUGCUGCAUGUCCACGCGCCAGGCCCGGAGCCCUGUCUGAAGACAAGCCAAGACGGGAGGGACAUAAACACUUCUGAAGUGGGAAGAGCAGACGUGAAAUGGAACGUCCUCCAGCCCCUCGUCCUUGUCCUUUUAAACUAGAAAGGCCUGAAGCCACCUCCCCGUUCCGCCCUUCCCGCACGAGUGAGGUUCCACGUGGGCUGGGCUGCAGCUGUCCUCUCCUCUGUGUCCUAAACAGACUUCUGUGAACCUUGAAGGUCAAUAUCACGGCACUUUCUGGAUCCGAAAUGAAAUGAUCCACCGUUAGAUCCAAUUAGCCAAGGCCCACCUCUGAGGUGUGAGACAGCAUCACGCUCCCUUCCCUUUUAAGCCGGCAUAGAUCGCUGUGU
ensembl:lncRNA